AUGGCGGACUGGGGCCCGGUGAUCGUCGCGACGGUGCUGUUCGUGCUGCUGACGCCGGGGCUACUGUGCACGCUGCCGGGGCGCGGGCGGGUGGCGGAGUUCGGCAGCAUGCACACCAGCGGCCUCUCCAUCCUCAUCCACGCCGUCCUCUACUUCGCGCUCGUCACCAUCUUCCUCAUCGCCGUCGGCGUCCACGUCUACACCGGCUAG
rnacentral:rRNA from 1 species